rnacentral:rRNA from 1 species
AUGGAGCAGUUCCAUCACGGCCAGCACGUGCGGCUGCGCAGCCGCGUGCACGGCACAUACCUGCACGCCGACGAGGACGGCCAUGGCGUCAACCUCCGCUUCCGCCGGGAGUCUAUGAACGCGGCUUGGGCGGUGCACCGGCACCCGGGCAAGGACGGACAGUUCCUGCUCCUCCACAGCGCCGCCUACGGCCACUACCUCGCCGCUACAGAUGUGCCGGCGCCGCCCGGCCACCGCGGGCUCCGCGCCAUCCUGUCAAAAUCCGAGGAAGAGGUCUACCUCCGCAACAUCGGUGGCGCCUGCCUCCGCGCCAACGGGAGGUUCUGGAACACUGACGCCACCAUCGACUACAUUGAGGACCUCGACAACAUCAGCAGGAAGAUGCUCUGGGUUGUGGAGCAAAUCCCCGCCAGGGAGGUCAUGCCUCCCCUUCCACGUCCGAUUGGGCUUCCCCACCCAAUGUUGCGGUCGCGGAUGAUCAUGUACAUGUGGCGGAACAUCCUCGGGGGCCUCAUCACCUGCGGCUCGUUCGUGUUCUGGGGGAGGUCCGUGUUCCGCCUGAGGAAUCAGCUGGUCAGGCGGCUGCGCCCCAUGAUAGACUUGGACGACCCCGAGCUCGUCAUGGGCCUCCCCACACGUGAUGGCCGGAUGUUUCCACUCGUCGUCGACCUGCCCAGUAGCGGCCAUACCCUCCACAUCUUCCUCACCAUCGCCGGGACGCCUGCCCACGAGGAGCUGCGGUAUGCGGAUGUCGAUGCAGAGUAG